rnacentral:lncRNA from 1 species
ACUAAAAAAUACAAAAAACUAGCCGGGCGAGGUGGCGGCGCCUGUAGUCCCAGCUACUCGGGAGGCUGAGGCAGGAGAAUGGCGUAAACCCGGGAGGCGGAGCUUGCAGUGAGCUGAGAUCUGGCCACCGUACUCCAGCCUGGGCGACAGAGCCAGACUCCGUCUCAAAAAAAAAAAUUAAAAAAUUAAAAAAAAUUAAGAAGAGAAAAUGGCCGGUCCUUGCCUUAAGUGAUGACAUUACCUUGUGAAAGUCCUUUUCCUGGCUCAUCCUGGCUCAAAAAGCUCCCCCACUGAGCACCUUGUGACCCUACUCCUGCCCACCAGAGAACAACCCCCCUUUGACUGUAAUUUUCCUUUACCUACCCAAAUCCUAUAAAACGGCCCACCCUUUUAUCCCCCUUCACUGACUGUCUUUUUGGACUCAUCCCACCUGCACCCAGGUGAUUAAAAUGCUUUAUUGCUCACACAAAGCUGGUUUGGUGGUCUCUUCACACAGACACACAUGACAGUUAGCACUUGGUCAGUAACACAAUAUCCAUUCCAAAAGUCCUGUUUUGUAUUCUCCAUCCGUGACAGACAUGGGAAGGAGAGUCAGCUUCUUUAGGAACUAGGAAUGGCUGUAAGACACAGUUCCCACUCAUGAGAGCUUAACAAAAUUAGGCUGUUGUGCAAGGCAAGGGAAAAUGUUGGUUUUCCUGAUAAGGGACAGGCACAGCAGCACUGUACCUUACCUUGUUUUUUUUUUUUUUUUCUUUUCCUGAGAUGUGGACAUAAUGCUUGACGUUAAGCAUAAGAAUGAAGAAAUGCAAGAAAAUCUUAGAGUCCUUAAUGAAUCAAUAGAAGCAGCAGCCUCUUUUCCUGUGAUCAAAAAAAUGGUAGUGGUACCAGCCACUUGAGAUGAAUACUACAUCUUUGACGCUGAGAAAACAUCAAAAUGCGUGCAGUCUCUCUGUCCACAUGAUUGGAAAUAUUCUCAAGUCAUUCAGGUUCAUCUAUGAUAAACUGUGGAUUUUUCCAGAAAGUCUUCAUUGCAGUGUUGGCACAACUUCCAUAUAAACUAUAUCUACGUUCAUGGGAGAACAGUGAGGGUAUGGUGAAGUAUGCAUUGGUACUUAGCGUUUCUGUCAAGAAUUGGUAAGCACUCUUCUGCUCACAUUUAUUUACCUAAACAACUUAUGAAAACAUUCUCGAGUUCAACAGAGUUGUGUUUUGUAUUCAACCUGCAGGAAAGGAU